GACGAACGCUGGCGGCGUGCUUAACACAUGCAAGUCGAACGGUGAAGCGCCUUCCUUUUUGGUGGGUGUGGAUGAGUGGCGAACGGGUGAGUAACACGUGAGUAACCUGCCCCCUUCUUCUGGAUAACCGCAUGAAAGUGUGGCUAAUACGGGAUAUUCUGGGUCUGUCGCAUGAUGGGUCUGGGAAAGAUAUUGUUUCGGUGGGGGAUGGGCUCGCGGCCUAUCAGCUUGUUGGUGGGGUGAUGGCCUACCAAGGCGGUGACGGGUAGCCGGCCUGAGAGGGUGGACGGUCACACUGGGACUGAGACACGGUCCAGACUCCUACGGGAGGCAGCAGUGGGGAAUAUUGCACAAUGGGCGCAAGCCUGAUGCAGCGACACCGCGUGAGGGAUGGAGGCCUUCGGGUUGUGAACCUCUUUCGCCAGUGAAGCAGGCCUGCCUCGUUUGUGGGUGGGUUGACGGUAGCUGGAUAAGAAGCGCCGGCUAACUACGUG
rnacentral:rRNA from 1 species